UACGAAGGGGGCUAGCGUUGCUCGAAAUCACUGGGCGUAAAGCGCACGUAGGCGGCUUACUAAGUCAGGGGUGAAAUCCUGGAGCUCAACUCCAGAACUGCCUUUGAUACUGGUAAGCUCGAGUCCGGGAGAGGUGAGUGGAACUGCGAGUGUAGAGGUGAAAUUCGUAGAUAUUCGCAAGAACACCGGUGGCGAAGGCGGCUCACUGGCCCGGUACUGACGCUGAGGUGCGAAAGCGUGGGGAGCAAACAGG
rnacentral:rRNA from 1 species